rnacentral:lncRNA from 1 species
UUUUGAUCUUAAUCCCAAUUUAUUUGUCCCCUUAAUGAUCAAUGUGUAACAUGAAGCUCCAAAACUGUUAAUUUCAUCGACGAAAAUCCUCGGUCUUGUUCCAAGUUUCCUCUUCUUGAAAAUGUCACUGAAUGCCUCCCCUGUUACUUCAUGCACUUAAUUAAUGGUCUCAUUAAACAUUGACUCAGAACAAUGAGGUAAAACACAGUGAUCUUGGGCAGUAUAUAUUGCUGCUUCAGAGAUUUAGGGCAAGAGAUCCAUACCAUGGAAGCUUAAAAGUGUCUUUCCACCAUCCUUGUUUUGAACAGUUGCAACAAACUUUAUCCAGUCUUGUGAUGAUCUCAGAAAAGGUUGGUCUGACAACAGGUUCUGAAUGCCAACAUUCAUCAAUCAACCU